rnacentral:rRNA from 1 species
UACGUAGGGUGCGAGCGUUGUCCGGAAUCAUUGGGCGUAAAGCGCGUGUAGGCGGCUCGGUAAGUCCGCUCUGAAAGUCCAGGGCUCAACCCUGGGAUGCGGGUGGAUACUGCCGGGCUCGAGUCCGGAAGAGGCGAGUGGAAUUCCCGGUGUAGCGGUGAAAUGCGCAGAUAUCGGGAGGAACACCAAUGGCGAAGGCAGCUCGCUGGGACGUGACUGACGCUGAGACGCGAAAGCGUGGGGAGCGAACAGG